rnacentral:rRNA from 1 species
AUUGAACGCUGGCGGCAUGCCUUACACAUGCAAGCCGAACGGCAGCACGGGUGCUUGCACCUGGUGGCGAGUGGCGAACGGGUGAGUAAUACAUCGGAACGUACCUUAUCGUGGGGGAUAACGCAGCGAAAGCUGUGCUAAUACCGCAUACGCCCUGAGGGGGAAAGCGGGGGAUCGAAAGACCUCGCGCGAUUAGAGCGGCCGAUGCCUGAUUAGCUUGUUGGUGGGGUAAAAGCCCACCAAGGCGACGAUCAGUAGCUGGUCUGAGAGGACGAUCAGCCACACUGGGACUGAGACACGGCCCAGACUCCUACGGGAGGCAGCAGUGGGGAAUUUUGGACAAUGGGGGAAACCCUGAUCCAGCAAUGCCGCGUGAGUGAAGAAGGCCUUCGGGUUGUAAAGCUCUUUUGUCAGGGAAGAAACACCGGCUCUAACACAGUCCGGGAAUGACGGUACCUGAAGAAUGAGCACCGGCUAACUACGUGCCAGCAGCCGCCGUAA